CCUACGGGUGGCAGCAGUGAGGAAUAUUGGUCAAUGGACGAGAGUCUGAACCAGCCAAGUAGCGUGAAGGAUGACUGCCCUAUGGGUUGUAAACUUCUUUUAUAUGGGAAUAAAACGUUCCACGUGUGGGAUUUUGUAUGUACCAUAUGAAUAAGGAUCGGCUAACUCCGUGCCAGCAGCCGCGGUAAUACGGAGGAUCCGAGAGUUAUCCGGAUUUAUUGGGUUUAAAGGGAGCGUAGGUGGAUUGUUAAGUCAGUUGUGAAAGUUUGCGGCUCAACCGUAAAAUUGCAGUUGAAACUGGCAGUCUUGAGUACAGUAGAGGUGGGCGGAAUUCGUGGUGUAGCGGUGAAAUGCUUAGAUAUCACGAAGAACUCCGAUUGCGAAGGCAGUUCACUGGACUGCAACUGACACUGAGGCUCGAAAGUGUGGGUAUCAAACAGGAUUAGAUACCCUAGUAGUC
rnacentral:rRNA from 1 species